CCUCAAAUCAGGCAGGACUACCCGCUGAACUUAAGCAUAUCAAUAAGCGGAGGAAAAGAAACUAACAAGGAUUCCCCUAGUAACUGCGAGUGAAGCGGGAAGAGCUCAAAUUUAAAAUCUGGCGGCCCCCUGGCUGUCCGAGUUGUAAGCUAGAGAAGCGCAGUCCGCGCUGGGGCCAUGUACAAGUCUCCUGGAACGGAGCGUCAUAGAGGGUGAGAAUCCCGUCUCUGACAUGGACCUCCCAGGGCAUAGCGAUUGCGUUCUCAAAGAGUCGAGUUGUUUGGGAAUGCAGCUCUAAAUGGGUGGUAAACUCCAUCUAAGCUAAACAUAGGCGAGAGACCGAUAGCGAACAAGUACCGUGAGGGAAAGAUGAAAAGAACUUUGGAAAGAGAGUUAAACAGUACGUGAAAUUGUUGAAAGGGAAACGCUUGAAGUCAGUCACGUCGGCUUGGGAUCAGCCUUGCAACUGCGAGGUGCACUCCCUGGUCGACGGGUCAGCACCAGUUUCGACCGCUGGAGAAAGGUCGGGGGAAUGUGGCAUCCUCGGAUGUGUUUAUAGCCCUCGAUUGCAUGCAUCGGUUGGGAUUGAGGAACUCAGCGCGCCGCAAGGCCGGGUUUUCGAACCACGUCCGCGCUCAGGAUGCUGGCA
rnacentral:rRNA from 1 species